rnacentral:rRNA from 1 species
GACGAACGCUGGCGGCGUGCUUAACACAUGCAAGUCGAGCGGAGCGGCGAACGAGUGAGUAACGCGUGAGUAACUGCCCCCCUCUCUGGGAUAACAUUUGGAAACGGCUGCUAAUACCGGACAGUGGGGGAUGACUCGCGUCCUAUCAGCUUGUUGGUGGGGUAGUGGUUUACGAAGGCGUGGACGGGUAGCCGGCCUGAGGGGGCGACCGGCCACAAUGGGCUGAGAUACGGCGCAAGCUCCUACGGGAGGCAGCAGUGGGGAGUAUUGCACAGUGAGGGAGAGCCUGAUACAGCGACGCCGGGUGCGGGAUGACGGCCUUCGAGUUGUAAACCGCGUUCAGCCAUGACGCGGUAGUGGCAGAAGAAGCACCGGCUAACUACGUGCCAGCAGCCGCGGUAAUUC